GAUUGAAACAGAAAGUAAAGUUGUUCUUUUGUACAGAAUCCAUUUUGAGACGACAGAGCAGAAGACGCUAUAUGGAGAUUACUGACAAAUAAAGAUCCAUUUUGAGACGACAGAGCAGAAGACGCUAUAUGGAGAUUACUGACAAAUAAAAUCUCCAACCACCUCAGAGAUCAGUCUCUCCAGUACCCAGUCAUCUGUCCAUGAAGAGCGACUUCUCUAUGGAUCGUCCAAUACAUUUUAGUGAUGGAUCAGGGACCUUUGACCCCAGGUAAGUUACUGGUCAGAAUUGAUGAUAUUUCUAUU